GACGAACGCUGGCGGCGUGCCUAAUACAUGCAAGUCGAGCGGACAGAUAAGGAGCUUGCUCCUUUGAAGUCAGCGGCGGACGGGUGAGUAACACGUGGGCAACCUGCCUAUAAGACUGGGAUAACUUCGGGAAACCGGAGCUAAUACCGGAUAGAUUCUUUCCUCUCAUGAGGAAAGAAGGAAAGACGGUUUCGGCUGUCACUUAUAGAUGGGCCCGCGGCGCAUUAGCUAGUUGGUAAGGUAAUGGCUUACCAAGGCGACGAUGCGUAGCCGACCUGAGAGGGUGAUCGGCCACACUGGGACUGAGACACGGCCCAGACUCCUACGGGAGGCAGCAGUAGGGAAUCUUCCGCAAUAGACGAAAGUCUGACGGAGCAACGCCGCGUGAACGAAGAAGGCCUUCGGGUCGUAAAGUUCUGUUGUUAGGGAAGAACAAGUACGAUAGUAACUGAUCGUACCUUGACGGUACCUAACCAGAAAGCCACGGCUAACUACGUGCCAGCCGCCGCGGUAAAAC
rnacentral:rRNA from 1 species